AGCGGCUGAGGGUGGCACAAACAGACAACGCCCUCGCCUUUUACUAGGGCGUUCCGUGUGUCACCCUCACUUCAAAGCCGCUUAGGAAUUUUUCAGGAUAUCUGCUCUAUCCGAGCGC
rnacentral:snRNA from 1 species